UACAGAGGUGGCAAGCGUUGUUCGGAAUUACUGGGCGUAAAGGGCGCGUAGGCGGCUUGGUCAGUCCCGUGUGAAAUCCCUCGGCUCAACUGAGGAACUGCACGGGAAACUGCCUGGCUUGAGUUCGGGAGAGGGAAGCGGAAUUCCGGGUGUAGCGGUGAAAUGCGCAGAUAUCAGGAGGAACACCGGUGGCGAAGGCGGAUCUCUGGGCCGAUGCUGACGCUGAGGAGCGAAAGCGUGGGGAGCGAACAGG
rnacentral:rRNA from 1 species